GCACCGGCUAACUCCGUGCCAGCAGCCGCGGUAAUACGGAGGGUGCGAGCGUUAAUCGGAAUUACUGGGCGUAAAGCGCAUGCAGGUGGUUUGUUAAGUCAGAUGUGAAAGCCCGGGGCUCAACCUCGGAACUGCAUUUGAAACUGGCAGACUAGAGUACUGUAGAGGGGGGUAGAAUUUCAGGUGUAGCGGUGAAAUGCGUAGAGAUCUGAAGGAAUACCGGUGGCGAAGGCGGCCCCCUGGACAGAUACUGACACUCAGAUGCGAAAGCGUGGGGAGCAAACAGGAUUAGAUACCCUGGUAGUCCACGCUGUAAACGAUGUCUACUUGGAGGUUGUGGCCUUGAGCCGUGGCUUUCGGAGCUAACGCGUUAAGUAGACCGCCUGGGGAGUACGGUCGCAAGAUUAAAACUCAAAUGAAUUGACGGGGGCCCGCACAAGCGGUGGAGCAUGUGGUUUAAUUCGAUGCAACGCGAAGAACCUUACCUACUCUUGACAUCCAGAGAAUCUAGCGGAGACGCUGGAGUGCCUUCGGGAACUCUGAGACAGGUGCUGCAUGGCUGUCGUCAGCUCGUGUUGUGAAAUGUUGGGUUAAGUCCCGCAACGAGCGCAACCCUUAUCCUUGUUUGCCAGCGAGUAAUGUCGGGAACUCCAGGGAGACUGCCGGUGAUAAACCGGAGGAAGGUGGGGACGACGUCAAGUCAUCAUGGCCCUUACGAGUAGGGCUACACACGUGCUACAAUGGCGCAUACAGAGGGCGGCCAACUUGCGAAAGUGAGCGAAUCCCAAAAAGUGCGUCGUAGUCCGGAUUGGAGUCUGCAACUCGACUCCAUGAAGUCGGAAUCGCUAGUAAUCGUGGAUCAGAAUGCCACGGUGAAUACGUUCCCGGGCCUUGUACACACCGCCCGUCACACCAUGGGAGUGGGCUGCAAAAGAAGUGGGUAGUUUAACCUUCGGGAGGACGCUCACCACUUUGUGGUUCAUGACUGGGGUGAAGUCGUAACAAGGUAGCGCUAGGGGAACCUGGCGCUGGAUCACCUCCUUAUACGAUGAU
rnacentral:rRNA from 1 species